rnacentral:rRNA from 1 species
UACGAAGGGGGCUAGCGUUGCUCGGAAUCACUGGGCGUAAAGGGUGCGUAGGCGGGUCUUUAAGUCAGGGGUGAAAUCCUGGAGCUCAACUCCAGAACUGCCUUUGAUACUGAGGAUCUUGAGUUCGGGAGAGGUGAGUGGAACUGCGAGUGUAGAGGUGAAAUUCGUAGAUAUUCGCAAGAACACCAGUGGCGAAGGCGGCUCACUGGCCCGUAACUGACACUGAGGAGCGAAAGCGUGGGGAGCGAACAGG